rnacentral:rRNA from 1 species
UACAGAGGUCCCAAGCGUUGUUCGGAUUCACUGGGCGUAAAGGGUGCGUAGGCGGUCGGGUAAGUCUGAUGUGAAAUCUCACAGCUUAACUGUGAAACUGCAUUGGAUACUAUCCGGCUCGAGGAAUAGAGGGGAGACUGGAAUACUUGGUGUAGCAGUGAAAUGCGUAGAUAUCAAGUGGAACACCAGUGGCGAAGGCGAGUCUCUGGACAUUUCCUGACGCUGAGGCACGAAAGCCAGGGGAGCAAACAGG